UACGUAGGGUGCGAGCGUUAAUCGGAAUUACUGGGCGUAAAGAGCUCGUAGGCGGUUUGUCGCGUCGGAUGUGAAAGCCCGGGGCUUAACCCCGGGUCUGCAUUCGAUACGGGCAGACUAGAGUUCGGUAGGGGAGAUCGGAAUUCCUGGUGUAGCGGUGAAAUGCGCAGAUAUCAGGAGGAACACCGGUGGCGAAGGCGGAUCUCUGGGCCGAUACUGACGCUGAGGAGCGAAAGCGUGGGGAGCGAACAGG
rnacentral:rRNA from 1 species